UUAUGGCUCAGGAUGAACGCUAGCUACAGGCUUAACACAUGCAAGUCGAGGGGCAGCAUGGAGUUGCUGCAAACUCUGAUGGCGACCGGCGCACGGGUGAGUAACGCGUAUCCAACCUUCCCUAUAGUAGAGGAUAGCCCGGCGAAAGUCGGAUUAAUACUCUAUGUUUUCCGUUGCAGACAUCUAAGAUGGAACAAAGGCUUGCCGCUAUAGGAUGGGGAUGCGUCUGAUUAGGUAGUCGGGCGGGGUAACGGCCCACCGAGCCAUCGAUCAGUAGGGGUUCUGAGAGGAAGGUCCCCCACAUUGGAACUGAGACACGGUCCAAACUCCUACGGGAGGCAGCAGUGAGGAAUAUUGGUCAAUGGGCGAGAGCCUGAAUCAGCCAAGUAGCGUGCAGGAUGACGGCCCUAUGGGUUGUAAACUGCUUUUAUGCGGGGAUAAAGUUCACUACGUGUAGUGUUUUGUAGGUACCGCAUGAAUAAGGACCGGCUAAUUCCGUGCCAGCCGCUGC
rnacentral:rRNA from 1 species